GGUGCAUUGUGGGCCAAGUUACUUUUCGGCCAUAUUUAUGUGGGACUUUUGCGAAGGAUGGCUUGUUGUUAUUUAAUAUUUUGUACCCUACCAAAGCCUCUCUGUUGAUAUCGAGCCGAGCAUACCACCUGAGCUGUGGAUGAUGUGACAGGGAGGGCGACAGGGAUGGAGGCAAUCACGGACAGUGACCGGCUACAACGACUCCGGGAACUAGAAGCUCAUUUGAGAGACCCACGAGGAGUCAUCAAUGUCGACUCACUGUUGGAUGCAGUUCAGGCGAUGGUCGCAGAUUGCGACCAUCAGGCCAUCAAGAGAAACAAAAAUGUGGAGGCUUUCCUUAAUAGAUAUCGGGAGUCCAUACAGGACGUGGAGCUAUUACGGAUGCGGGCAGAUGAUUUUACAAAUGUCAAAGUUAUAGGAAGAGGAGCAUUUGGAGAAGUACAACUUGUAAGACACAGAUCCACACAAAAGGUGUAUGCAAUGAAGCUCCUGAGUAAAUUUGAAAUGAUAAAACGCUCAGAUUCGGCAUUCUUCUGGGAGGAACGAGACAUUAUGGCUCAUGCUAAUUCAGAGUGGAUAGUACAGCUUCACUUUGCCUUUCAAGACUCAAAGUUUUUGUACAUGGUAAUGGAUUAUAUGCCAGGUGGCGAUCUAGUGAAUCUUAUGUCCAACUAUGAUGUCCCAGAAAAAUGGGCAAAGUUCUUUUGUGCAGAGGUAGUUUUAGCACUUGAUGCAAUCCACUCCAUGGGUUUUGUACACAGAGAUGUAAAGCCAGACAACAUGCUCCUGGACAGCAGUGGACAUCUUAAGCUGGCUGACUUUGGUACCUGUAUGAAGAUGAACAAGGAUGGAUUGGUAAGAUCUGACACAGCUGUUGGAACUCCAGACUACAUAUCUCCAGAAGUCCUCAAAUCUCAGGGUGGUGAAGGUGUGUAUGGUCGUGAAUGUGACUGGUGGUCUGUGGGGGUCUUCCUGUACGAAAUGCUUGUGGGAGACACUCCAUUCUAUGCUGACUCUCUAGUUGGGACCUAUGGAAAGAUCAUGGAUCACAAGAAUUCCCUCAAGUUUCCAGAAGACAUUGAGAUAUCUGCUGAAGCCAAGAGUCUCAUCUGUGGUUUUCUGACUGAUCGGGAGACACGAUUGGGCGGCAAAGGUGUGGAUGAAAUCAAGCAGCAUCGUUUUUUUAUAAAUGACCAAUGGACCUUUGACACCAUAAGGGAAUGUGUGCCUCCAGUUGUACCAGAUCUAACGAGUGAUGAUGACACCAGUAACUUUGAUGAAGUGGAAAAUGAAGACACACCAGAAGAAAGUUUUACUGUCCCAAAGGCUUUUGUUGGGAACCACCUUCCUUUUGUGGGGUUUACUUACUCCAAAGAUUAUAGACUGUUAAGUUCACCAGAUAAACCAGAUGGGAAAAGAAAUUUGACCAAUGAUGGUUCUGAAGCCAGUCACCAAAUAGCUGUUCUGAGUGCAGAAGUAGAACACCAGAAGAACCAGGUGGAAGAGCUUGAUGGAAAGUACAGAGUGACACUGAGUCAGUUGGAUGCCCUCACUCGCAGAGACCAGGAACGACAGCAUGAGAAGAGGGAUCUGGAGAAAAGACUUGCACUUCUGCAACAUGAUUUGAAGGAAGCUCAGAGGAAGGCAGACUAUGAGAGUGAUAGCCGCAAGAAGCUUGAUGGGCUCUACCAGGAGGUGAAGAAGAAACUUGAAGAUGAACAGAAUAAAAGAACACGGGAUCAUAAUUCAGCAAUUGCCGUUAAUGAAAAGCUUUAUGGUCUGGAAAAACAGUUGAAAGAAGUCCAGGACAAAUUAAAAUCAGAAUCAGACAACCACUCAAGACUUCGCAAGCAACAUGCUGAGCUUGUGGUAACCAGCCAGAGAAAAGAGGCAUCUCUGACAGAUUACACAGAAAAGUUUGCAACAGUUCAGGCAAUGAGAGAUGGUCUGGAGCGAGAUUUGGUCAACUUGCAAACACAGCUUGAUCAAGAAAGAACACACAAAAAUCAUCAAGCUGAUCUUGUAACCCAGGCGGAAAGCAAAGUUCAAGCUUUGCAAGCCAAGCUUGAUAGUGCUUUUGAGAGAGAAGCAGUUGCUCGUAAGGAAGCUGAGAAAGUAUCUGAGAGACUUGUGCAGCUGGAAAAAGACAGAAAUUCCUUGGAAUUGGAGCUUCGGGGCAUGACAAGUCGGUAUGAACAGGAAGCAAGAGCAUUGCGUGAAGCCAGCAGUGCUGCUCCUACCCAUAAUUAUCAGUCCAGUGCUCAGGCCCUUGCAGCCCUGCAAGAACGUUUGAAUGCAGAAAAACAGAAGCGUCAACAAGCAGAGGCAUCUAGUCAAGAAAAGGAACGCCAAAAUUCAAUGCUGAGUGUUGAUUAUAGACAACUACAGCAGCAGCUUCACAAAUUGGAAGGAGAAUACAGACAAGAAUGUGAAAAGGUGAAAGCCUUGCAGAAGCAGUUAGAGUCAGAGACAGAAAAGAGAACAUCUCUAGCCAGUGACCUUCAGGCCCAGAUGUCAGAGCUUUCCCUCAUGCGGACAAGGGAAAAAUUGCUUAUACGGGAUUUAGAAGAAGCAAAAGAGGCACGUUCCAGUUUAGAAAAAGAGUUGCAUAAACUUGAAGCACAGAAGUCUGUUGAUGAUGUGCAGAUGAAGGAGCUGAAUGACACUUUGGAAGCUGAACAGUACUUUUCUACACUCUAUAAGACUCAGGUAAGAGAGCUACGUGAGGAGGUAGAUGAAAAGAGCAGACAAGUUGUUGAACUAGAAGAAGAACGUACCAGUCUCACUCACCAACUACAGCUAGCAGUAGGAAGGGCUGACUCAGAAGCUCUUGCUCGCUCCAUUGCUGAGGAAACUGUUGCAGAAUUAGAAAAGGAGAAGACAGUGAAAGAGCUGGAAAUCAAUGAUCUCAUCUCCAGACAUUCUGCAGAGGUUGCAGAGAAGGAUUCUGCUCUAAAUGCUGUAAAGGAACGUGAACAGGAACUUAGUAAGUCGUUAGAAUCAUUGAAGCAAGAAAAGGAUUCCCUCAAUACACAAAUUCAGAUGUUGGAAGAUGAGAAAAAGAAAGCAAAUAAUGAACGUCAAGAUAAACUGGACAAAUUAGAUAGGCAGCUGAAGACAGAACAGCUCUUGAAGAUGCAGGCUGUCAACAAACUGGCAGAAAUAAUGGCUCGCAGAGAAAACCUUCCUGCUAAUCGGAAACCGAAGGCAUCUGCUAGUGACUUGAGAAGGAAGGAGAAGGAAUGUAGGAAAUUACAACAAGAAUUAACUUUGGAACGUGAUAAGUUCUCCCAGACGGUGGUGAAACAUCAGAAGGAAGUGCAGGAUCUUCAAGCCCUUCUAUAUGAAGAGAAUCAAGCAAGAGUGAGAUUGCAAAUGGAGGUUGAUUCCAAGGACUCUGAAAUUGAAUCUCUCCACCGCACAAUUGCAAACCUCAAUAGUGAAACUGCUUCACUCAGCAGUGGCGCUGAUAAUGAUAUUGAUGAAUUAGAUUCCCGGUUAGAGGGCUGGCUGUCCAUUCCUAAUAAACAAAACAUAAAGCGACAUGGCUGGCGGCGGCAGUAUGUGGUGGUAUCUUCAAGAAAAAUCAUUUUCUAUAACUCGGAAAAUGAUAAGCAGAACUCUGAUCCAAUUCUCAUUCUGGACUUAACAAAAGUUUUCCAUGUCCGGUCAGUAACACAAGGUGAUGUAAUAAGAGCCGAAGUUAAAGACAUCCCUAGAAUAUUCCAGUUACUGUAUGCUGGAGAAGGAGAAAGUCGAAAACCUGGUGAUAACCCUGGUCCCCUGCCUCUACAUGAGAGUGCAGGGCCAGAUAAGGCAGGUACUCUAGUCCACAAAGGCCAUGAAUUCUUGGCCAUAACCUUUCAUAUGCCUACAAAUUGUGAAGUCUGUCAGCGACACCUUUGGCAUAUGUUCAAGCCACCACCAGCCCUCGAGUGCAAACGUUGCCGAUUCAAGAUUCAUAGAGAACAUCUGGAUCGGAAAGAGGAUGUGGUGGCCCCUUGUAAAGUUAACUAUGAUAUGAACACUGCCAAGGAGUUGCUGUUAUUAGCUUCCUCAGUUGAAUCACAACAGAAUUGGGUCACAAGAUUAUCCAAGAAGAUUCAGAAGUCCGGGUACAAGGCCCAGCACACCACUAGUUCUGAUGGUGCCAAAAUUUCCCCAAGAAUGUAAAAGCCUUUAGGACUAGCUGCUUCCAGCAACACGUAUAUGAGGAACAUUUACCAUUAUCAAGAGAAUCAACGAGAUCAUCUUAUCGGCCAUAUGUUGUACAGAAGUCUGCAACUUUGCCCCCAAACUCUAAUUUGAUUAGAAAAUAAGAGGUUUGAUUUCUUAUAUAGAAAAUAUUAUUGUGACUAAGGAUUUCUAUUCCUAAAUAAUUAUAUAUUUUUUUCCUUUCAAAUGAUUUAUUUAAAUCAUUUUAGGAAAAAAUAAUAAUUUAACUUUUACUCCAGAAACACUGAAAGAUUAAAAGGAAGUAACAUUUACUUUGGGUACUGUGUAAACCAGGAACCUUUAUUGCAGCAAUAUGUUAGCUUCCUGGGGACUUGUGCCUUAUGAAAUCCUGAAUCUACCUUUCUUCCUUCCUUCCUUCCUUCCUUCCUUCCUCUAUGUACAUUACUCUGUGUAGGGACUAGGAAAGUGUCCCAUGGUGACACAGUUACAAUAAUAUUUUUGUGAAACACAUCAAUAAAUGUGAAUAAGAUUUUUUUGGUACAAGCCAAUUUUAUAUGUUUAUAGACUAUGUAACAUGUCAAUGCUUCCAGUGUACAUGUAUAAGUUUCCUUCUUUAUCGUCCAUUAUGGUUAGACUUGUAUUAUCGAUGCAAACAUAAAGUAAUUGCAUUUGUGAUUUAUGUGUGAUUGACAAAAUGUUUAGCUGUAUGCUGUUCAGUCAAGGUGAUUUAUAAUGUUAACAAGUAAGUUGUGCAACACCUUGGUCACUUGACAGUUGUAUGUAAUAAGUAAGUCCAGUUUUGAAGGAAGAGGGACGGAGCACACCUUGAUGAACUGUUUUGCGGCUAAGUAUAUUUUGUACAUAAUGAUGCGUAAGAGUGGCUGUGUGAAUGUGUGAUGAAGUCAAGAAUGUUGAGGAAGGCUAAGAAUUUUAAGGAUAUUUCAAAACUGAAUGUCAUACUGAUAAGCCCAGAAACUGAAAUGAGUAAUAGAAUUAGAUUGAAUCUGGUCCAAAGCUUUGAAAUUGUAUUUAACUGAAUAAUUUACAUGUUCAUUGUUGUUUCUUUUUUUGUUAAUUUGGGUUCAGAUCAUCCAAAUUAGAAGAAAAGCCUCCCAAAUUAUUUAUCUCUAGCAUCUCAACCACAUGAAUGGUUAUCAGCAUUGCAGUGAAGUGUGAGGUAUAAUUACCAUUUAUAUGAAAAAUGGGUCUAGUCUGAAUUGGUGUGGAAAAUAUGAUAAUUAAUUUUCAUUGAAUCUUUCUCAUCCCCUCCUAUUGACUUCAUAGACACUUGAUCUACUAACAUAGCUCUCAAUGUAAUCAUCUCUUUUGACAAUGAAUUGAGUAUGAUAUGCAUGGUGAUAAUACAGUUCAUAUAUUCCACAUUAAUCAUAAAGCUUUUCCUUUUAACAAGACAUUUCAGGGUUUAUCAGUGAAACCAAUUUUUUGCUGCAUCUGUUAUAAAGUUACAAAAUUAUUUAAAUAAUAUGAUUUUUUAAAAUUAUUAUUUAUUUAAUCCCAGUUCAUGAUUCCCAAAUGGCCAUUUCUUAUAUUUCUGUUCCUUUUACCAGACUAUUUUCUUUUUCAAGACAAAGCAAGAUCAAAAGUAUUAAGAAACUAGAUAAAUACCAGAUAUGCGAGAAAAAUUUAUUUUCUUAUAAACAUAUAUCAGAAUUUGUAUGAUUGAAUUUGACAUAACCUGGAGGAUCCUGUUUUUACCAAGAACUGAAGAGUGGUGAGCUUGGCGAGAAGAAAGUGAUGUGCUUAACAAUGUAAAAUUCUUUGAAUGAGGCUGUUCCUAACAUUGCUCAAUUAAUGUCCCAUCCUUGUAAUUUGUCAUAUGUCAGCAGAACAAACUAAACUAUAACUGAACCUUUGUCUCACUCAUGUCACCAAGAAUGCCUUGAUUACCAUUUGUUGAGCUUCCAUAGUAUAAUAUAUGCAGAAUUAUUUCAGCUUUGGCAUUGUGUAACUUUUUGCAUAUAACAAUGGAAAUCAUCUGGUCUCAGGUAUUGGAAUCAAAGCAACACUGUUUCAAAUUUCACAUGCUCUUUUUCUUCAGUCUAAAACUCAAUUUUUUAUACAUUAUUUAUUUAUUUAUAUAUUUGUUUAUUUUUAGAAAUGGUGUGCAGAACGUCUAUUUGACAUAUCAAAUAUGUAAUUAUAUAUCUUGACCAGUCUAGUGUUCUGUCUUGGUAAGGUUGAGGUGUUCCUCAGUUAUUAUAGAUUCACUUAUGGUAUAUUGAUACUUUGGAAGAAAGGUUUAGGUACUCAAGGUAUUUGUACCUAUAUCAAAAGUGAUACUUAACUACAAAUUUAUAUACAGAAAUCAAGAAAAUUGCUCACAAAUAAUUUUAUGAAGUGAAGUAGCUGAGUGCUUAUUAAAAUCAUGUUAUCUGUAAUGUUAUCAUUGUGAAGUAACUUUCAAUGAAAAUUUCCAUAAAGCUAUGCAUACAUCUACCACAAAUGCAGUGGUUUUUAGUAUGCAUAUUUUUAUUAAGAAAAAAAAAAAAUCCCGUGAUGAAAAGUAUGGUAUAAGCAGAAAUGAUCUUUAUCAGUAGCAACACAAAAUAUUUUCAAAACACAAGGUCAGGAAGUUUACCUCAGGAUUGUGUUCACAGCUACAUUUUUUUUUUUUUUUUUUUUUCAUUAUAAUUGUAAUUAUAUUUAGAAAAUCAAGCUCACUUGUAAAUAGUGAAGCAGAUUAUGUUUUAAACUAAUAUGGUUUCUUCAUAAUGAUGAGUAAUUGCUUUAAAUGAAAGUAACAAAAAUAGAAAUUUAAUGAAAAGCAGCACUGUUGGUUCCUUGUAUAUAACAAAACUAUCACAGAAUAUUACUAAUCCACAAACAAUUGAGAUUCAUAGGUGCUAUGUUGGUGGAUGAAAGGAUUCUGCUAUAUACUUCUAUAUAUUGAUGAAAAGUAAGUGCAUUGUGUGGCAUCAUAUCAGCAGUGGUUUAUGAGAUGAUUCUAGAAUGAGCUUGGCUCAAGCUUGACACCAUUUUGUAGGAAUACUUGAGAGUAUAGGUAAUACUUAUUGAAGACAGAAUCUCGAGCAGAACUAAGGUAUGUGAAGAAUGUGCCUGACAAAACCUCAACUAAAGUAGCUUGUCAAUAAUACAAAUUGGGUGGCUCACAGUACCUAGUCCUGAGGCAAAUCUAAACAUUUUCUGUUGUCACUGAGUAAGUGCACAUGUGCAUGUAGUAUAUGGAAAUUAUAGAAUUAUAACAUUCCUUGUAUUUCACUUUGGAUUGUACCAUGUGUUACAUUUGUAUGUGUUUGUAUGCAAAUGUAGAUACUUUAUGGCUAUAAUGUCGCACUAUGGGAUGUGUAGAAUGCACUCCUGUUUUAUCUGUUGAUAUAAGUAUUCAUUAUAUGCAAAUUUACAGUAUGCAUGGGUUAUAUUGAGUGUAAUCCACACAUUAAGAUAGAAGCUGACACAUUGAUAUAAAACACAGAGCAUGAGUAGUUUUCCAGCUGGUGCAAGAGACUGGUAAUGUUAAAAGUGAUCUCAGAGAAUAGAAUUUCCAACUCAACAUGUGGAAGGUAAGAAACUGGAGUUUUUAGACUUAAAAAAGAAAAAAAAAAAGUAUUAUGACAAUAAAAUCUGAACUUUUAGGUAAAACUCUAAUAGGUGUACAAUUGUCCUAAAGAGAUGCUACAUUCAAAAUAUAGUGUGAUGUCUAAUAUAUAUUGAUAAUAUAGGUGAUGCAGACAUUCUGAGAAUGCUGAAAUAUUAUUUUUUUUUUUAUUUAUUUUUUUUUAUGUUUAUACCAUUUACUGUUAUUAUUGCAGGUUUAUUAUUUUUCAUAUACAAAAAAUCUGUUUGUGCAAAUAUCUCCUCUUUUUGUUUAUUGAUCACUGUUAAUAAUCUUCGCACUGAGAUCUAUUUUACUAUCUUACAUUAUUCUACUGCUGUAAAAACAACUAUAAAUUUAUUGUUUUUAUUCAUAAAUCCAUAACUAUACAUGACAACAAAUCUGGAGAUACAAAAAGAGAAAAUACUUCAAUUCUACCAAUUAUAUGCCUAUUAUAUGCCUACUUUCCAUCACACUAUAAUGUUUACUUUAUUUUUAUAGUAAUCAGGUUUCUUAAAUUGUUUCUUAAAGGAAUAAAGUAAUCAUGAUACCAAUUUUUUGUAUAUAAAUUUAAUGAAAAAUGUAUAAUUAUGUAUUUAUGUAUGUUAGUGUGCCAAGUUACUCAGUUCAUGAAAUAACACAUGUGCUGUUCUUUACUACAGUAUUUAUACUUGUAUAACAGAAUCCCUCAGCCUGUAAAGUCCUUUCAGUUUUGCUGAACUGUAGAUAUUGUUAUGGCUUCAGUUUCAUACAAUGUAGUGAUUGCUCAUGUCAUCUCAGAGUUGUUGAUUAUUUUGAUGCCAAUAACAUAACGACAAAAGCCUUGAUAAAAUUUGGAAAAAUGUAAUUGGUUUUGUUUUAACUUGUGCAGCAUCAAUAUAUGAUGUACUAACUGCGAGAAAUGCUCUGUUUAUCAACGCACAUGCUAUAAGUACUUUGCUUCUUGGUAACAGGAUUCUAAUUUUGAAUUUGGAACAGUACAUCAUCCUUCCCUUUAGGCACUUUAGUCCACCACUACCCUCAUCUCAUUGUUCUACCUCACCACACUUUGCAACCCUCAACUCCAACUUAGGUCCUUACUACACUACUUCACUGUUCUUGCCCAUACUUCUACAUCCUCACCUCAAUAUCAUAACUCCUACCUUCUUCCUGUCUUUUCCAUCAUCUCUGGCAUGUAAGAAACAACUUUUGAUUUUUUUAAAAUUUGUUAUUAACAUCAGUUUUGCAUCACCAGUAGAUUCUGGAAAAAGAGAAACAUAGUCUUUCCAUAAUGUGUAAUGGUUAGUUGGGAGAUAUACGUGACAAGUUAGGGAGGCAUUAUGAGUUAAAAGGCUGUCCAGAGGGUUCACAUCACUAUCUAGUUCCCCUUCUGUACACUAUGGUAGGAGUAUAAGAAUUUUUGCAGUGGAUUUUUGUAAGAUUUAGUGUAUCUGCUAGUUUCUGCUAAACAUAAAGAUUACAGAACCUGGCUGGUACUGGUGUAUUGAUAUAGGCUGAUGCUGCACAGGUUAUUGAAAGCCCAUCUUCCACAAACUUUGUUUGCUACUAAAGAAUGGUUUUCCCACUGAUUUCCCCUUAAAAAAAUAAUGAUCAAUAAAUAAUAAGAAAGUAAAAUAUAUAUAAGCAAACCUACUAUAGACUGCUAACUAAUGCAAAUCCACAGAUGCUGCAGUGAGUCCAUGCUUUCAUAAUGGGUUUGGUGUCCAUCCCAUGGCCAGUUGUAUGAAAUCUCAGUAUGGGGAACUUUCUUACAUAAGUUUGUUUCAUUGUGUGUGGCUGUGUGUGUGCAUGUGUGCGUGAAUGCAGGUGUGUGCAUUAUAUGUGUUUCAGAACACAUAUAAUACAUUAUGGGAACAUUUAUCAUAAUUUUGUAUGGAAAUUACAAAUUUGUGAUCAAAAUUUAUUUCAUAAAUUUCCUAACUUAUAUUAUUUGUUUAAGGUGUCCCCUAACAACAAAUUUUAUCUGUGUUUUUGUAUAUUUUAUUUAAAAAAAACCCCAGCUCACUGCUGGACCAGCACAUGCCAUAUUCAGUGAAAUAUUUAUGAUAUUUUGAAGAAAUUAAAGUUUUGCAAAUUAUUUUGCAGUUCUAGUUAAAUUUUUUGAUGUAUUUUCUGCUUUAUGUGUUUGUUGAUCAUUAGAUUUUAACAAUAUGUUAAUAGAAUGAUUACAAUAGAGGGACAGGUUUUAGGCAGCAUUGAACUGUUCUUUAAAAGCUAUUGUUGCAAGAAACCUAAAAUUCAUCUAUCACGAUCACAUACACAGUAGCUUCUUAAAAGAAUCUAUUAGUUUACGCUAUUGAUUUUUUUUUUUUUUUUUUUUUUUUUUUUUUUUUUUCCAAUAUAUUUUAUUAUUUUUUAUUUAUUUGUUACUUUCUAAUAUUACUCAGAUCUUCUAAUAUCAUGAAGUACAUCUUAAGAUUUUUACUUGUAGUGUCCUGUGUUAAAUAAAAGCUUUGUAUAUGGCUUGUAUAAUACUGAAACUUUUGUAACAAAAGUUAGAUAACACUCAGUGACUAGCAUUUAAGGGAGAGAAUCCCAAUUCCAGCCUGUUGCCUCAGUAUUCAGAAAUGGUCACCACCACUACAGGGUUACCAUUGUUACAGUUACUGUGAGGUUUGCUGCAAUGAAACUCAAAAUAAGUUUUUCUCUUUAAAUAUAUGACAUGCCUAUUUAUAUAUGCCUACCAUAGUUGUAGUUACACAAAUUGCCUUGCAUGUUUCAGAGUCAUUAUGUAGCAAGUGAAUGUUGAAAUGUUUUUUUCAUUCAUGGCCCAUGUUCUUUUCAUUGUAAAAUAACAUUUUAUGGCAGCAGGCAGGAUCCCUUUAGUGCCUGAGGACACCGUGUGAUUAUUAAUGCUUUGCAACAUCACAGCUCUGCAGGAAUAUUGAAAGCUUGAUGUUUCUUUUAAUAUUGAUUGGCUUUACAUAUGUGCCAAUUACUUGUUAUCUUGAAGAUUGCUAUCACUAUUGAUAUAAUGUACCUUUCUUGAUUUCAAUUUGUUUGUUUUUUAUCAACUACUUUCAAGCAGGCAGUGAUUCACCCAUAUAUUACCAUUCAUGCAUUAUAGAACAUUGUGCAUUUUUAGAUGUGCUGCAUUGCUGUGGAGCUGUGAAGUUUGACCAAUGCACAGCUAUCCUGGCUACCUCAUGAGGAGGUGAGCAGGUAAACACCCCAGCAGAGUGAAGGUUGUGUCAGCUGUUGUGUACAAACAUAGGUUUACCCUACUCCAGGACUGAGAUCCCUUGUAGGCAUGUGGCAGACCUGUCAAUUGCUUGCAUACAAUGGACUACAAAGCUGAGCUUUUUUCCAAAAUGUGAGACAUCUCAAAUGUAGGUACUCAGUCCAAAAUCCAUGAAAUGCAUCUGUGUUGAAGUUUUAGUGGCAUGUUAUCAUUACAAUAAUGAAUAAUGAAAUUAUAAAAGUUUAGGUCAUCUUAAAGAUUGUUCCCAUUAAAGGAAAAUCUCAGGCAGCCACAUGCCAAUAAGCUAUGAAAUGAGGUCCUCAGGUUGUUUCCUGCAUUAAAAGAUUUAGCUGUGGCUUGUCUACACAUCAUGGUGGGGUCAGGAUGGCUCUCUACUCCUUAUUCCAUGUGUUUCUUUUUAUGUUGUGUUGGAGUUAACAUGUACAAUCCAGUCACUAUUACAUUGUUCCUUAUUAUUGCAUAUAAUUACUGUAAAGUUAAUAAAAGACAUGAACUUA